UACAGAGGUCCCAAGCGUUGUUCGGAUUCACUGGGCGUAAAGGGUGCGUAGGCGGUGAGGUAAGUCGGAUGUGAAAGCUCGGAGCUCAACUCCGAAAUGGCAUUGGAAACUACCUCGCUCGAGGGUUGGAGGGGGGACUGGAAUACUUGGUGUAGCAGUGAAAUGCGUAGAUAUCAGGUGGAACACCAGUGGCGAAGGCGAGUCCCUGGACAACUCCUGACACUGAGGCACGAAAGCUAGGGGAGCAAACAGG
rnacentral:rRNA from 1 species